rnacentral:tRNA from 1 species
UUUAAAAUCUAAAAAUGAUAUAAUUAUCUUAUAUAA